GAUUUUCAGAAAAUGUAGGACUAUCUUUCGUUUUUCCUCUCUUUUACUAUGAUGAUUUUCCUGCUGUGAAGCUUUUCUUGUAUAAAGCUCAAUUUCUCUCUGACCACGGAAGUAAACAUCCUGAUGCAUUCUUGUCAUGUGAAUGUUGAGAGCGUGUUCAUUUUUGAAAUCUCCUUUCUGACAGACCUAUUCCACAGGAUCAGCUGAGAUGUUAUUUCACUGGAUUAUUUAAUGGAUAGGCUUAUUGGGCAUAUAUUUGGAUAUCUCUGUAAUGAGCUUUUCAAAAAAUGAAGGACUACAUGUUGUACUGUGAUGAUGCUAAAAAAAAAAAUGUAUUUUUCUGUAUGCAGUACUGACAGUCAUUAACAUGGAAGAUAAGUUUUGUUCCUAACCAUCUAUAAUCAAUUCUCUAUGAAGUUCAGACUGUCUGCCCUUCCUUUGGAAAUACACAGUUAGUCAACCAACAUAGAAACACACAAACUUGAAGGAUUCUCUAGUGAGGGCUUAUGGAAAUGAUCUAUGUCUACUCUUAGAAUGGUGAAAGACUAUCAGAUUAUGCAAAGACUAACAGAAUAUCCUCUCUUGGAACACUGAAACAAGAAAACCAAACUUAAGAGGAUGGUGGAUUUAAGAAGAACAUAGAUAAAUAUGAUUUCCAACGAAUUUAACCAGUACGAUCAUAGACUGUGGUUAACAGGAUGACAAAGAAAGGACCCAGGAUUGUAUCUUUCACUGUCAGACACUGACUAUGGAUAAAGUGUAAUCAUUUAUCAAACUGAGAUCUAGUCAAAUCAAGUAUUGAAAAUAUGAUUUUCUGAUAGCAUGAGCUCUUUAAAAACUAAUUCUCACGGACCUCAAAGUAUCUGAAUGUGACUUUUAUUUUUACCAAUUCAUAUUGAAGACUGUUGGUAUGUAUGGGAAUUACAC